AUGGUGUUCACCUGUCCAGACUCCAUUGUCUGUAUCAGCUGUGCUGUGUCUUUCUUGUGUGUCACUUUGUCUGUGUGGCUGCUUUCUCUGCAUUCCUGGGUUUGCUGUACAUUUUGGAUUAUUCUUAUUCAGACUUGGACUUUUUUUAUCUGGACCUCCAGCCACCUUUAGUUCUUUGUGUUCCCCUGCCUUCUUCAGUUCUGUUUGAGUCAAAAAAUAGGACCCAAGUGAUUGCAGUCAACAAACAGGCAGACAACACAAACUUAGGGAGCAGGCUGAUGAAAAUCCAAGUACAGAGAAGAAACACAAAGAACUUCACUGAGAAGAACACAGGCAGGAAUACUGAUGAGAGACCAACACAGCAAAUGCAGAUGACCUGAAAACUGAAAGAGGAAAAACACGUGAACUAAAUACAGAAGGAC